GAUGAACGCUGGCGGCGUGCCUAAUACAUGCAAGUCGAGCGAACGGACGAGAAGCUUGCUUCUCUGAUGUUAGCGGCGGACGGGUGAGUAACACGUGGAUAACCUACCUAUAAGACUGGGAUAACUUCGGGAAACCGGAGCUAAUACCGGAUGAUAUUUUGAACCGCAUGGUUCAAAAGUGAAAGACGGUCUUGCUGUCACUUAUAGAUGGAUCCGCGCUGCAUUAGCUAGUUGGUAAGGUAACGGCUUACCAAGGCAACGAUGCAUAGCCGACCUGAGAGGGUGAUCGGCCACACUGGAACUGAGACACGGUCCAGACUCCUACGGGAGGCAGCAGUAGGGAAUCUUCCGCAAUGGGCGAAAGCCUGACGGAGCAACGCCGCGUGAGUGAUGAAGGUCUUCGGAUCGUAAAACUCUGUUAUUAGGGAAGAACAUAUGUGUAAGUAACUGUGCACAUCUUGACGGUACCUAAUCAGAAAGCCACGGCUAACUACGUGCCAGCAGCCGCGGUAAUACGUAGGUGGCAAGCGUUAUCCGGAAUUAUUGGGCGUAAAGCGCGCGUAGGCGGUUUUUUAAGUCUGAUGUGAAAGCCCACGGCUCAACCGUGGAGGGUCAUUGGAAACUGGAAAACUUGAGUGCAGAAGAGGAAAGUGGAAUUUCAUGUGUAGCGGUGAAAUGCGCAGAGAUAUGGAGGAACACCAGUGGCGAAGGCGACUUUCUGGUCUGUAACUGACGCUGAUGUGCGAAAGCGUGGGGAUCAAACAGGAUUAGAUACCCUGGUAGUCCACGCCGUAAACGAUGAGUGCUAAGUGUUAGGGGGUUUCCGCCCCUUAGUGCUGCAGCUAACGCAUUAAGCACUCCGCCUGGGGAGUACGACCGCAAGGUUGAAACUCAAAGGAAUUGACGGGGACCCGCACAAGCGGUGGAGCAUGUGGUUUAAUUCGAAGCAACGCGAAGAACCUUACCAAAUCUUGACAUCCUUUGACAACUCUAGAGAUAGAGCCUUCCCCUUCGGGGGACAAAGUGACAGGUGGUGCAUGGUUGUCGUCAGCUCGUGUCGUGAGAUGUUGGGUUAAGUCCCGCAACGAGCGCAACCCUUAAGCUUAGUUGCCAUCAUUAAGUUGGGCACUCUAAGUUGACUGCCGGUGACAAACCGGAGGAAGGUGGGGAUGACGUCAAAUCAUCAUGCCCCUUAUGAUUUGGGCUACACACGUGCUACAAUGGACAAUACAAAGGGCAGCGAAACCGUGAGGUCAAGCAAAUCCCAUAAAGUUGUUCUCAGUUCGGAUUGUAGUCUGCAAUUCGACUACAUGAAGCUGGAAUCGCUAGUAAUCGUAGAUCAGCAUGCUACGGUGAAUACGUUCCCGGGGUCU
rnacentral:rRNA from 1 species